CUUGUUCUUUUAUCUGAAGGUCACUUGCUCGAAUUAUGUCUACAGUCAUAAAGAGUGCAUGGUGGUGGUGGCCUAAAGAACUCAUGGACAAAUGGGAGAAGACAUCAAGCAAACAGGAGACAACACAACAUCCUGAAGCCUUCCUCAUGUGCUUCAGAUCAAAACCUUAUUGGGGUGCAGAGAGAUUUAUGAUUCAUUAUAUAUGUGGCUACAGAAGUACUCUGGGAAACUGCCAGUUGUAAUUUGUUCUCUUCUAGACGACUAUAGACAAAUUCAAGAAUGGAGUGGUGGAAAAGACAAAGUUCACAUAUUCAAAACUUCUUGAAUUUCUGAUGCUUGGAUAUGCCUCCCUACAUAGAACAGCUGUUUUCUCCCCCAGGCUCCAUUUACCUAAAGACAUUCUGGGUUGCCCUUCGGUAGUUUUUGAAGCUCUAUCUCUACAUCUUUCCUAAUCUUACCCUUGUCUCCAUGCAGCUAUCUUUUGUGAAUCUCAGGGAUAUGGCACAUUUUGUCUUUCACUGACUCAUUUGUGACUGGGAGUCCAAUUAUAAUGUGUGGGUUAUUUCCCCUCAUAGCAAACAAUCUCACACCAGCCGGUAUCCCACAAUUCAGCUCAAUUGUGAUGCUUAUCUACUCAAGAGAUAGUAUGAGAUUCCACAGGUUAAGGGUUCAGUCCUACAAGACUGCCCUCCACUCCCAUUUCAGGCACCAGCUGCAAGUCCAGGCUCUCACCUGUGCUUCUGACUGACUGGCUAUACAGAUCAGAGGUUACAAUAAUCUCUUCCCUGGAUUUGAUUCAUAUACCAGGGCAACUCACAGAACUUGGAGAACCAUUUUACUUAUUAGAUCACCAGUUUGUUAUAAAAGGAUAUAAUCCAAGAACAGGCAGAUGGAAGAGAUGUACAGGGCGAGGUAUCUGGAAAUGGUGUAGGGCUUCCACGCCUUCUGUGUGCAUCUCUCCCCACCUCCGUCCCCUUGUCACUUGUUUACUAACCCAGGAACUCUCUGAACUCUGUUCUUUGGAGUUUUUAUGGGGCCUCCAUUACACAGCCAUGACCAAUUAAAUGACUGGUUUUUGGUGACUGAAUUCCAUACCUCCAGCCCUUCUUCCCUCCCUGAAGAUGCAGGUUAGGUGGGGCUGAGCUUUCCUACCUUCUAACUAGGUGGUUGGCUCCCCUGGCAAUUAGCUCACAUUCUCACCUAGGGGCUUUCCUAAAAAGUGCCUCAUUAACAUAACAAGAUGUCUAUGGUCCUCACCACUUAAGAAAUUUCAAAGGUUUUAGGUGUGGUAUGCCAGGAACAGGGAAGAAGACCAAAUAUAGAAUUUAUUAUAAAUCACAAUAUCACACUCCUCGCAGCUUUCACAACACUAGAUGGGUUAGAAUCUAGAAAGUUUACAAUGGCAAUACCCUUCUAUCCGCUCUGUAUAGGUAAUUCUCAAAUCUGUCUGUGUAACAGAAUCACUUCAGUAACUGGGUAAAAAAGUUUAUAGCCCUGAAUAAUAUCCUGUCAUUGUGAAGCAGAAUUUCAGAGGCGGGGGCCUCUAGAAUAUGCACUAAUAACAAAAUAAUAAUAAUAUAAUAAUAAAAAACAACU